UACGUAGGGGGCAAGCGUUGUCCGGAUUUAUUGGGCGUAAAGAGCGUGUAGGUGGCCAGGUAGGUGGGUUGUGAAAACUGGAGGCUCAACCUUCAGACGUCGACCCAAACCCCCUGGCUAGAGUCCGGAAGAGGAGAGUGGAAUUCCUGGUGUAGCGGUGAAAUGCGCAGAUAUCAGGAAGAACACCCGUGGCGAAAGCGGCUCUCUGGAACGGUACUGACGCUGAGACGCGAAAGCGUGGGGAGCGAACAGG
rnacentral:rRNA from 1 species